UGGGAAUCAACCAAUCUGCAAAUGCAAACUGGAUAAUAGAAGUGGAAAACCAAAAUGUUCAAGACCUAAAUGUUGAGAUAAUUGAUAUAGUGCCGGCAGAAAAAUCCAUUAUAAAGAGACAAUGCCACCAUGGUGGUACACCAUGUACCAAAAUGUAGACUAUGAAGAAUGACAUUAUUAUAAUCUCUCUUCAAGUCAGAAUUCAAGAUAAGAAGACAUCUCGACGAAAACAUCAAAGUAUGCUCUGAAUGUUAUAAUAUUUAUAACAUAACUCCUACAGAAAUAUUAGUAUACUCUGCACUU
rnacentral:lncRNA from 1 species